CAGUCGCCGCGGUAAUACGAAGGGGGCUAGCGUUGCUCGGAAUGACUGGGCGUAAAGGGCGCGUAGGCGGAUUGUUUAGUUAGGCGUGAAAUUCCUGGGCUUAACCUGGGGACUGCGCUUAAUACAGGCAGUCUAGAGUGAGGAAGAGGGUUGUGGAAUUCCCAGUGUAGAGGUGAAAUUCGUAGAUAUUGGGAAGAACACCGGUGGCGAGGGCGGCGACCUGGUCCUUGACUGACGCUGAGGCGCGAAAGCGUGGGGAGCAAACAGGAUUAGAUACCCCAGUAGUCCCUGUCUCUUAUAC
rnacentral:rRNA from 1 species